GACGAACGCUGGCGGCGUGCCUAAUACAUGCCAGUUGAGCGAUGAAGAUUGGUGCUUGCCCCAAUUUGAAGAGCAGCGAACGGGUGAGUAACGCGUGGGGAAUCUGCCUUUGAGCGGGGGACAACAUUUGGAAACGAAUGCUAAUACCGCAUAACAACUUUAAACAUAAGUUUUAAGUUUGAAAGAUGCAAUUGCAUCACUCAAAGAUGAUCCCGCGUUGUAUUAGCUAGUUGGUGAGGUAAAGGCUCACCAAGGCGAUGAUACAUAGCCGACCUGAGUGGGUGAUCGGCCACAUUGGGACUGAGACACGGCCCAAACUCCUACGGGAGGCAGCAGUAGGGAAUCUUCGGCAAUGGACGAAAGUCUGACCGAGCAACGCCGCGUGAGUGAAGAAGGUUUUCGGAUCGUAAAACUCUGUUGGUAGAGAAGAACGUUGGUGAGAGUGGAAAGCUCAUCAAGUGACGGUAACUACCCAGAAAGGGACGGCUAACUACGUG
rnacentral:rRNA from 1 species